rnacentral:lncRNA from 1 species
AUAUAUCAACAACAUUAAAAUUAUUUCUGCAUACAACAUUCUGUUCAAUUAUCAAUGUAGGAAGCAAGCUUUCAAAUUGCAUAACAACGCGUCCUGUUUGUCGGAUCGAUGACGCAAAUCAUUAAUCUCAAAAACUUGAGCUAUUAGAAAUACGCAACCAAUUCACUUAAACAAAUAGACAAAGUGCCUACGGGUCUCGAUUGUAAUUCGACCUAGUCAGCCUCACGCCACUUUGAGCAUGAUUUGACCCAAUCUAGUCUCCCACUAUUUCGAAAAUGACUCGGUCAGAAUCUCAAAAAUUUGAGCUGUUAGAAAUACGCAACCAAUUCACUUAAACAAAUAGACAAAGUGCCUACGGGUCUCGAUUGUGAUUCGACCUAGUCAGCCUCACGCCACUUUGAGCAUGAUUUGACCCAAUUCGAUCUCCCACUAUUUCGAAAAUGAUUCGGCCAACCUGACCUCCCACCACAAGGCAAAUGUUUGCUUCUUUAAGCCAACAAACCCUCUACUCAGCACCUGCAUAAAUUUAUAGUAUUUGAAAACUAAACUCGUAGCUUCUGACUUCGAUACCGCUUGUCGAAUCGUUGACGCUAAACAUUAAAAGGAUUAAUGGUUAAUACCAAUAAUAUUACAAUGUGGCUACGUGAAUUAAUAG